CCCCUCUCAGGAUGGCACCUGGAGAGUUUCCAGUACUCUACCUGUCUCGACUAUGGGAGGGAGAGUCAAGCAGAGUCAAGCCCAUUUCAUUCCUAGCUUGGGCAGUCGCUAGUGAGUGGAAGGCAAUCUCUGCUACAGUC